rnacentral:rRNA from 1 species
UACGUAGGGUGCGAGCGUUGUCCGGAAUUAUUGGGCGUAAAGAGCUCGUAGGCGGUCUGUCGCGUCUGCUGUGAAAACCCGAGGCUCAACCUCGGGCCUGCAGUGGGUACGGGCAGACUAGAGUGCGGUAGGGGAGAAUGGAAUUCCUGGUGUAGCGGUGGAAUGCGCAGAUAUCAGGAGGAACACCGAUGGCGAAGGCAGUUCUCUGGGCCGUAACUGACGCUGAGGAGCGAAAAGCGUGGGGAGCAAACAGG